GUCCUAGCUAUCCUUCUAGACAACCUAUUUCCCACCUCCUCUGGGGACCUCUGAGGGUUAACUUUAUGUAUAAAUGUGAUACGGCUAAAGGAUGCCCAGAUUGCUCAUGAAAUAUUAUUUCAGGGUGUUUCCAGAAGAGGUUAGCUUUGGAAUUGGAGACUGAGUGGAGAAUAUGCCUCACCAAUCCACUGGGACAUCCAUCUCCGCCUGCCCUUGGACACAGAUGCUCCUGGUUCUCAGGCUUCAGGGUUUGGACUGGAACGUCACUGCUGGAUUUCCUGGGCCUCUGACUUGCAGGUGGCAGAUUGUGGGACCUCUCAGCCUCCACAAUUGCAUCAGCUGGAGCCAUCCCAGAAGACCUGACAGAGUUCCCAACAGCUGGGGCAACGAGUCCUUCAGAAGGAGGAUCUGGUGCUGCAGUGCCCUGACCCCACGAUUUGACUCAUGGCUCUCACCUCCCCCACCUGCUCCAAGCACAGUCCCUGGAGAGAAGGAAACAUAGAGACUGAGCCAACCCUGUAUCCUUUGCUUC
ensembl:lncRNA